GAAAUGGCUCAGUGGUUAAGAGCCCUGGAUGCUCCUCUAGAGGACCUGGGUUCAAUUCCCAGCAUUCA
rnacentral:tRNA from 1 species